rnacentral:rRNA from 1 species
UUUAUUGGAGAGUUUGAUCCUGGCUCAGGAUGAACGCUGGCGGCGUGCCUAAUACAUGCAAGUCGAGCGAAUGGAUUAAGAGCUUGCUCUUAUGAAGUUAGCGGCGGACGGGUGAGUAACACGUGGGUAACCUGCCCAUAAGACUGGGAUAACUCCGGGAAACCUGGACUAA